rnacentral:lncRNA from 1 species
UAGACACUUGACCCUCCAACCUAACUAAUAGUUCCCUUCUACACUUAGCAGAGGGCAACUAUCACAACUACACUUGGGAUCAUUCACAUCAUGAUCUAAGGGAGCAUGAUGGGUCUCUUUUCAAUAUCACUACUACCUUUACUACUACCUUGCUCAGAACCACUAAGGCUUAGAAAGAGGAAAGAGUUUGAGACCUAACUAGUGGAUUUCCCUAUCAUCUAACAUGGAAUGGAGACUACAUUCUACCUUCGAGACUUGGUGCAUAUCAUUACUACAUAUGGCCCUAAUCCAAAAACUAAACCCUGCCAUUGUAAGCACUCCUUAAAGUUAGUAUUGUCCUAUUGCACUCCAUGCUAUGUCCAUUCCCCGAGUUCGUCCAAGGUGAUUUAGAUAUGUUAUCUCUCAUCCAUCUAUUGUUUGACACUGAGCAGAGCAACAAAGAAAAAAGACAGAAGGAAGAGUGAGGUUUGUAGUUAUACAACAAAUAAGCAGGAGAGUUAACCACACAUACUACACUGGGAAAAACACACAUCAUAUAUAACACAUUGAACCAGACAUUCAAAUCCAUACUAAAGGAAAGUUUAUAAGCAGCUUAUGCAUAUACAGCUUACACAUACGACAACCAUGGUGAAGCAAUAUAUAUACUCACAUAUCUCACGCAUAAACCCUCCUUAACAUACUUACAAGCACAUAGAAAACUGCUAUAAAUGUUGAUUUGCGAUAUUUUUUCCAAAAUUCACAACACACUAAUCAACUUGUGUGUUGUUG